UAGGGAAUUUUUCACAAUGAGCGAAAGCUUGAUGGAGCAAUGCCGCGUGAACGAUGAAGGCCUUUAAGAUUGUAAAGUUCUUUUAUUUGGGAAGAAUGACUUUAGCAGGUAAUGGCUAGAGUUUGACUGUACCAUUUUGAAUAAGUGACGACUAACUAUGUGCCAGCAGUCGCGGUAAUACAUAGGUCGCAAGCGUUAUCCGGAUUUAUUGGGCGUAAAGCAAGCGCAGGCGGAUUGAAAAGUCUGGUGUUAAAGGCAGCUGCUUAACAGUUGUAUGCAUUGGAAACUAUUAAUCUAGAGUGUGGUAGGGAGUUUUGGAAUUUCAUGUGGAGCGGUGAAAUGCGUAGAUAUAUGAAGGAACACCAGUGGCGAAGGCGAAAACUUAGGCCAUUACUGACGCUUAGGCUUGAAAGUGUGGGGAGCAAAUAGGAUUAGAUACCCUAGUAGUCCACACCGUAAACGAUAGAUACUAGCUGUCGGGGCGAUCCCCUCGGUAGUGAAGUUAACACAUUAAGUAUCUCGCCUGGGUAGUACAUUCGCAAGAAUG
rnacentral:rRNA from 1 species